rnacentral:rRNA from 1 species
GACGAACGCUGGCGGCGUGCUUAACACAUGCAAGUCGAACGGUGAAGCGCGUUCCUUUUUGGUGGGUGUGGAGGAGUGGCGAACGGGUUAGUAAGUCGUGAGUAACCUUCCCCCUCUUUCUUGAUAACCGCAUGAAAGUGUUGCUAAUACGGGAUAUUUUGGGUCGGUUGGAUGAUUGGUCUGGGACGGAUUUUGUUUCGGUUGUGGAUGGGCUCGCGGCGUAUCAGCUUGUUGGUGGGGUGAUGGCCUACCAAGGCGGUGAGGGGUAGCCGGCCUGAGAGGGUGGACGAUCACACUAGGACUGCGACGCGCACACGCCUACUACGGGCGGCAGCAGUGAGGAUUACUGAACAGUGGGCGCAAGGAUGAUGCAGCGCCGCCGCGGGGGGGAUGGAGGCCUUCGCGUUGUGAACCUCUAUCGCGAGAGAAGAAGGCUUGCAUUGUCUGUGCGUGGGUUGACGGUAGCUGGACAAGAAGCGCCGGCUAACUACGUG